UAGGGAAUCUUCGGCAAUGGACGGAAGUCUGACCGAGCAACGCCGCGUGAGUGAAGAAGGUUUUCGGAUCGUAAAGCUCUGUUGUAAGAGAAGAACGAGUGUGAGAGUGGAAGGUUCACACUGUGACGGUAUCUUACCAGAAAGGGACGGCUAACUACGUGCCAGCAGCCGCGGUAAUACGUAGGUCCCGAGCGUUGUCCGGAUUUAUUGGGCGUAAAGCGAGCGCAGGCGGUUAGAUAAGUCUGAAGUUAAAGGCUGUGGCUUAACCAUAGUACGCUUUGGAAACUGUUUAACUUGAGUGCAAGAGGGGAGAGUGGAAUUCCAUGUGUAGCGGUGAAAUGCGUAGAUAUAUGGAGGAACACCGGUGGCGAAAGCGGCUCUCUGGCUUGUAACUGACGCUGAGGCUCGAAAGCGUGGGGAGCAAACAGGAUUAGAUACCCUGGUAGUCCACGCCGUAAACGAUGAGUGCUAGGUGUUAGACCCUUUCCGGGGUUUAGUGCCGCAGCUAACGCAUUAAGCACUCCGCCUGGGGAGUACGACCGCAAGGUUGA
rnacentral:rRNA from 1 species